rnacentral:rRNA from 1 species
AAACGAAAAACCUCACCAGGACUUGACAUAAUAUCGUUUAUUUCUAAGGAAACUUGGGAAAAUCCGCAAGGAUGAUAUUACAGGUGCUGCAUGGCUGUCGUCAGCUCGUGCCGUGAGGUGUUCCCUUAAGUGGGGAAACGAGCGCAACCCCCAUUCAAUGUUAAAUUGUUCAUUGGAGACAGCCCCAUCCUCAAGCGCAUAAAAAUUUGUGCUUUUGAGGAUGGGGAGGAAGGAGGGGAAGACGUCAAGUCAGCACGGCCCUUAUGUCCUGGGCUACACACACACUACAAUGGCGAAAAACAAUGGGCUGCAAGCCGGCAACGGCAAGCUAAUCCCUGAAAUUUCGCCUCAGUUCAGAUUGGGGGCUGAAACUCGCCCCCAUGAAGUUGGAAUAGGUAGUAAUCGCGGAUCAGCAUGCCGCGGUGAAUACGUUCUCGGGUCUUGUACACACCGCCCGUCAAGGCAGCAAAGUCGGGGGUGGCCGAACUUCGAUUAUGUCGGGGGAGGUCAAAUUCGGCGAUGAAGCUUAAGUCGUAACAAGUGUAUCCCUAGCCGAAGCUGCGGCUGGAUCACCUCCUUAAUCUAGAUGCAUCGCGAGUCAGC